rnacentral:lncRNA from 1 species
UCAUGAUAUCUGAGAUGUGGGAGCACGGUUGGAUGUUAGCAUGUGUGAACGCCAUCUAGUAUCGGGCUAAAGGUAUCAUAUCCCACCUCCUAAUAUUCAUGUGUGCACCGCUAGCGUUAAUCUGAAAGUGUCUACCAGGAAGACACACAACCUCCUCAAUUUCAGCUACAUUACCAAACAAACCAGCAUGUGCCGCAUAUUGGCACUGCUCCCCUGGCCACUCUGUGCC